AGCAGCCGCGGUAAUUCCAGCUCCAAUAGCGUAUAUUAAAGUUGUUGCAGUUAAAAGCUCGUAGUUGAAUUUCGGGGUUAGUAGGUUGGUCAUGCCUCUGGUACCCCUGUACUGGUCUCACUGAUUCCUCCUUCCUGAUGAGCCGUAAUGCCAUUAAUUUGGUGUUGCGGGGAAUCUGGACUGUUACUUUGAAAAAUUAGAGUGUUUAAAGCAAGCUAACGCUUGAAUACAUUAGCAUGGAAUAAUGAAAUAGGACGUUCGAUCCUAUUUUGUUGGUUUCUAGGAUUGACGUAAUGAUUAAUAGGGAUAGUUGGGGGCAUUAGUAUUCAAUUGUCAGAGGUGAAAUUCUUGGAUUUAUUGAAGACUAACUACUGCGAAAGCAAUUUGCCAAGGAUGUUUUCAUUAAUCAAGAACGAAAGUUAGGGAUCGAAGACGAUCAGAUACCGUCGUAGUCUUAACCAUAAACCUAUCGCCGACUAGGGAUCGGAUGAUGUUUAAUUUUUAUGACUCAUUUCGGCGU
rnacentral:misc_RNA from 1 species